GUACACACCUGGUGCCGGGCUUUCUGGUGAUCAGCCUGGCCGGCCCCGUGCCAAGGCCUGCCAUUGAACUACGGUUGGCUGAAGUACGCCACUUUUCAAAACUAGGAUAGCUGGGACAUGUAAUUUUUGAUGGUGGCACUUGGCGUGCGCGCCAGCCCCCA
rnacentral:snRNA from 1 species